UAUCCGUAGGUGAACCUGCGGAAGGAUCAUUCAUAAUAAGUGUUUUAUGGCACUUUUUUAAAUCCAUAUCCACCUUGUGUGCAAUGUCAGGGUUGAUUUUUCUCUCGAGAGGAUCAACCCCAAACAUCAACUAUAUCUCAACUCUUUGUCUGAAAAAUUUUAUGAAUAAAACAAUUCAAAAUACAACUUUCAACAACGGAUCUCUUGGCUCUC
rnacentral:misc_RNA from 1 species